AUUGAACGCUAGCGGGAGGCUUAACACAUGCAAGUCGAACGAGCGGCGGACGGGUGAGUAAUAUAUCGGGAUGUGCCCAGUAGCGGGGGAUAACUACUCGAAACUGUGGCUAAUACCGCAUACUAUUGGAGCGGCCGAUAUGGGUUUAGGUAGUUGGUGGGGUAAAGGCUCACCAAGGCAACGAUCUGUAGAUGGUUUGAGAGGAGGACCAGCCACACUGGGACUGAGACACGGCCCAGACUCCUACGGUAGGCAGCAGUGGGGAAUAUUGCACAAUGGGAGCAAGCCUGAUGCAGCCAUGCCGCGUGAAUGAAGAAGGCCUUAGGGUUGUAAAGUACUUUCAGUCGGGAGGCGUUACCGACAGAAGAAGCACCGGCUAACUCCGUGCCAGCAGCCGCGGUAAUAC
rnacentral:rRNA from 1 species